AGCAGCCGCGGUAAUUCCAGCUCCAAUAGCGCAUAUUAAAGUUGUUGCAGUUAAAAAGCUCGUAGUUGAAUUUCGGGGUCAGUAGGCUGGUCAUGCCACAGGUAUGUACUGGUCUCACUGAUUCCUCCUUCCUGAUGAACCGUAAUGCCAUUAAUUUGGUGUUGCGGGGAAACUGGACUGUUACUUUGAAAAAUUAGAGUGUUUAAAGCAGGCUAACGCUUGAAUACAUUAGCAUGGGAUAAUGAAAUAGGACGUUCGAUCCUAUUUUGUUGGUUUCUAGGAUUGACGUAAUGAUUAAUAGGGAUAGUUGGGGGCAUUAGUAUUCAAUUGUCAGAGGUGAAAUUCUUGGAUUUAUUGAAGACUAACUACUGCGAAAGCAUUUGCCAAGGAUGUUUUCAUUAAUCAAGAACGAAAGUUAGGGGAUCGAAGACGAUCAGAUACCGUCGUAGUCUUAACCAUAAACUACGCCGACCAGGGAUCGGAUGAUGUUAAUUUUUUAAUGACUCA
rnacentral:rRNA from 1 species